CGUAGCUCAAUUGGUAGAGCAUCGGACUCUUAAUCCGAGAGUUGGGGGUUCGAGUCCCCCCGG
rnacentral:tRNA from 1 species